rnacentral:rRNA from 1 species
UACGUAGGGUGCGAGCGUUAAUCGGAAUUACUGGGCGUAAAGCGUGCGCAGGCGGCUUUGCAAGACAGAUGUGAAAUCCCCGGGCUCAACCUGGGAACUGCAUUUGUGACUGCAAGGCUAGAGUACGGCAGAGGGGGAUGGAAUUCCGCGUGUAGCAGUGAAAUGCGUAGAUAUGCGGAGGAACACCAAUGGCGAAGGCAAUCCCCUGGGCCUGUACUGACGCUCAUGCACGAAAGCGUGGGGAGCAAACAGC